rnacentral:rRNA from 1 species
UACAGAGGGGGCAAGCGUUGUUCGGAAUUACUGGGCGUAAAGGGCGCGUAGGCGGCCUUCUAAGUCAUGCGUGAAAUCCCCGGGCUCAACCCGGGAACUGCGUCUGAUACUGGAAGGCUUGAAUCCGGGAGAGGGAUGUGGAAUUCCAGGUGUAGCGGUGAAAUGCGUAGAGAUGUGGAGGAACACCAGUGGCGAAGGCGGCUUUCUGGUCUGUAACUGACGCUGAGGCGCGAAAGCGUGGGGAGCAAACAGG